AAAGUCCCGUCCAGGGAAUUAUCCGUUCACCUUGGUAGCUCAAGGGAGCGGCGUUCGGGCAACCGAGGGUCGUGAGUUCCCAAUUGGCAAAAUUGCAGGCCGCAACGAAAGUGAACCUAUAUGUAGCCUCGUUACUUAUUGUAAAUGCCGACCCUGUGGUCAUAAGGGGAAGGCCGAUGUCCUCUGUACUGAAAACGGAAAGGGGCAGGGGGAUUUACCGGGGUAGCAGGGGU
rfam:Desulfobacterales bacterium S5133MH16 k99_77018, whole genome shotgun sequence.